rnacentral:SRP_RNA from 1 species
AUAUGGCUAGACUGGAGGGUUAGAGGUCCUCUGUAAGCACAAACCCCUCUUUGGUGCAGUCGAAAUUCAAAGGGCGGCUUUUUGAAUAAAUAAUUGCCUGUUAAGUCGAUAUAGAGACUUCGUCCUACAGGAUUAAUGGUCAUAUAGUCUUAACUGGAGGGUUAAGAUCAAAUAUGUUUAUUAUGGGAAUGUGUUAGGCAUGGAAAUGAGCAGCUCUACUGUAAACAGUUGAUGCUUGUAGAUAAACGGGGUGGAGUUGAUUUCUCAGAUCACUUUUAUUUAUGAUCUAAGUCCACCUUUGAAUGUGCCAAUAU